UAGGCAGUAGAUCAGUGGUAGAGCUCCCGCCUCAUAUGCGGGGAGGUCUGGGUUCGAUUCCCAGCUGCUUUC
rfam:Toxocara canis scaffold926, whole genome shotgun sequence.